GCCCAGAUAGCUCAGUCGGUAGAGCAGGGGACUGAAAAUCCCCGUGUCGCGGGUUCGAUUCCGCCUCUGGGCCCCA
rnacentral:tRNA from 1 species